AUGCCUUAAACUGAUGAGUAAGGAAAAUAAGGACGCAGGGUGACACCCGUGUCCUCGUUAAACUUACGAGACAAACUUUUAUUGAAUUUCCGUUGGGAUCAAUAAAGUAUCUAUCUGUCUAUCUAAAAAACCUUUAGUAACUGAGAAAAUGAUGGAUGUGAUUUUGAGUGACCGAGAUGAGAUAGAGUCUAACUUAUUGUAUCUGCAAUGUGUUU